UUCCUAGGGCACUUUUUUGUUUUGUUUUGUUUUCCCAACUGCUGCCAUCUGUGGCUUCUACUAUGCGGAUUAAUUGGCCUCUUUAAUAAGCGUGUCAACUUUUCUUAAUGCCUGUGAGCAUGCUUUCAAUUUAAAGGCAACUGCCUUUUUUUUUUUUGCACCUCAGUCUUGCACUAAGUCCUUAAGCAGACGGGUGGGAUGCCAAUUUCCUUUGGAUAGGAAUGAGGAAUAUCAAUUCCCAUGAGCACUCUGCUUGCUCUGGGCAGAUGUGCUGGCUCUAUCACUGCCUAGAGUUAUUCAUUAGGGUGACUUACGAUGCUCUGUGCUUUUUAUCUGUAUGAAUUUUAUUCUCAGCAUUCACCGUGAGAGGAAAAAAAAAAGGUCUCAGAAGCUAUUAAUAACAACAAAAGAGUAUUUUAUGUCCAAACGAAUCCAAACCUUAAAGAAUUCAUCAUGCUAUUUCCAGGAAGUUAAAUAUGUCGUUUUAAUCAUAAAUAUCAAAACAGACACUGCUGGUAUCCAAACUCAUGCCAGAGGCUGCAGAUGACACUGAAAAUACUACAGUAAUGUUACAAAUCUGAUUCUUGCAGAUGCUAAGUGAGCUGUUGCCAGGACUAAUUAGCUCAUGAUGAGUGUCAGCAAGCCGGUCCUCUUGGAAUAGUCAUUUGUCUCUAAUAGACCUUCAGUGGUUGUUAACUUUGUGAGCUCAAAGACAGACCCACACAGUGGCUAUCCAUUAGCUCUUCCCAAACAAAGUCAUGAUAAAAAUUCAUUUAAAACAUCGAUGACAUAAUUAUAGCUCCUAUUUGUUUGGAGUGCCAACUAUGUUUCUGACAUUUUACCAGUCUUCCUCCAUCUUGUUAGGCCUUUCAAUAGCUAUUAUCUUGAAAUUUCAGUCGAGGGCCAAAGGG